AGGUGCACCACACUUGAGGGACAUAUUUUAUCGUAUGGGUUUAUCUGACAAGGAUAUUGUGGCCCUCUCAGGAGGACACACUUUGGAAAAGCACAUGCAGAUAGAUCAGGCUUUGAUGGCCCUUGGACCAGGGAUCCACUGAAAUUUGAUAACUCAUAUUUUGUGAGCUUCUGAAAGGCGAAUCAGAGGGGCUUUUGAAACUUCCUACAGACAUUGCAUUGCUGGAUGAUCCUGCAUUCCGCCCUUAUGUUGAGCUCUAUGCAAAGGUAAAUUGUGAAAUUAUUAUUAUUAUAUAAUAAUAACCAAAUGUGAUGCCAAGUAAAACUUUGAUCUUUUAUCCACCGGGUAGAUAGGUUCUUCCUUCCACUGGAGACCUAAAAGUACACACUAAACGUGUGAAUAAAAAGCCAAGGAUAACAUCAUUAUUUUUUAUAUACACAUAAAAAUAAUACAAGUAGCUAAAACAUGUCAAUAUACAUGUCCACUGCAAAAAAAUUCUCUUUAGUUUCAACGGGACCUACUCGCAUACCUGCACCCCACUUUAACUAUCCUCCCUUUAUGUGGAGGAUAACAUCAUCUUUUUUUUUUUUUUAUCCUUGUCAUGGGUAACAGUGAGCCAUUACUAUUUGUCCUUGAUGCAUUUAGUGAAAAGUACUAGUAUGGUAGAUACGAAAUUUGCUUAGAGAGAAACUGUUGGAAGUUGAUAUGUAAUUGCUAUUUAUCUGUUUCUUUCUUGUUUAUUAGUUUCACUUUGUUUUAUAUUACAAAUCGACUAAUUGGACCUAAAAGAUCACUACUUCCUUAGAAAUGUUCCAUUAGGCCCUGUUUGUUAUUUAGUAACACCAUUUCAAUAUAUUAAUAAUGGCAAAUAUGUAAUUCUUACCCAAAGUUUUUGAAAAUAUAUAUUAAUUUUUUUUAAUGGUCUGACUAUAACUUGGACGGCUAUUAUUUUACUUAAGGCAGCAAUAUUGUACUUGUACAUAUGAUAUAAGCAGUCACGUGGUAGGAACCUACCCAUAACAACUAAAAUGGGAACAUAUAAACAAUCAAACAUUAAAGUCACUAAAAAGACAGUUGUGUGAUUGGUUUUAAGCUGGACUACCUUAGAUUAUUGGUUUUG